AUACGGAGGACGCGAGCGUUAUCCGGAUUCAUUGGGUUUAAAGGGUGCGCAGGCGGCCGUGCAAGUCAGCGGUGAAAGCCCGGGGCUCAACCCCGGAAGUGCCGUUGAUACUGCGUGGCUGGAAUGCGGUCGAGGCGGGCGGGACGGGGGGUGGAGGGGGGAAAUGCGUAGAUAUGCCACAGAACGCCGAUAGCGGAGGCAGCUCGCCAGGCCUGCAUUGACGCUCGGGCACGAAAGCGUGGGGAUCGAACAGGAUUAGAUACCCUGGUAGUCCACGCCGUAAACGAUGGGCGCUCGUCGUCGGCGGCAGACAGUCGGCGGCCAAGCGAAAGCGAUAAGCGCCCCACCUGGGGAGUACGGUCGCAAGGCUGAAACUCAAAUGAAUUGGCGGGG
rnacentral:rRNA from 1 species